AACAGCCCUAUUAAAGCCCAAUAUAAUUUCUAGUGAGUUAUGUACCUAUGUUAUUAGCCAUCCCGCCACGACUCCUUAGGGUUUCUCUCUCGCAGAUAAUUUUCUCCAUCUCUACCCAUCUAGGAUUCUCCAGAUUGUAAGUUCGUUUAUUUUAUCGUCAAUUUCUUCUUGAUUCCGUUUAUGAGUAGGAUAAAGCUGAUGAUGUUCUUUGCUAUAACAUGUUCUUCUGCUAUCAUAAUUUUAGUUUUUGGCUUUUCUCAUGCUUGUACGAAUA